rnacentral:rRNA from 1 species
AGGGAAUAUUGCGCAAUGGACGAAAGUCUGACGCAGCAAUGCCGCGUGAGGGAGGACGGUUUUCGGAUUGUAAACCUCUGUCAAUAGGGAAAAACGGCUUAUAGACUAAUACUCUAUAGGUUUGAUGGUACCUAUAAAGGAAGCACCGGCUAACUUCGUGCCAGCAGCCGCGGUAAUACGAAGGGUGCAAGCGUUGUUCGGAUUUAUUGGGCGUAAAGCGCGCGCAGGCGGAAUCAUAAGUCAGGUGUGAAAUCUCGGGGCUCAACCCCGAAACUGCGCCUGAAACUGUAAUUCUAGAGUUCUGGAGGGGGAAGGGGAAUUUCUCGUGUAGGGGUAAAAUCCGUAGAGAU